rnacentral:rRNA from 1 species
GACAGAGGCCCCAAGCGUUAGGCGGAAUCACUGGGCUUAAAGCGUGUGUAGGCGGACGCCUAAGUGUCUUGUGAAAUCCCACGGCUCACCCGUGGAACUGCUGGGCAUACUGGGCGUCUUGGGCCAACUAGGGGCAGCCGGAACAAGCGGUGGAGCGGUGAAAUGCGUAGAUAUCGCUUGGAACGCCGAAGGUGAAAACAGGCUGCUGGGGUUGUGCCGACGCUGAGACACGAAGCCAGGGGAGCAAACGGG